GGUGACCUGCGGAAGGAUCAUUACCUAGAGUUUGUAGACUUCGGUCUGCUACCUCUUACCCAUGUCUUUUGAGUACCUUCGUUUCCUCGGCGGGUCCGCCCGCCGAUUGGACAACAUUCAAACCCUUUGCAGUUGCAAUCAGCGUCUGAAAAAACAUAAUAGUUACAACUUUCAACAACGGAUCUCUUGGUUCUGGCAUCGAUGAAGAACGCAGCGAAAUGCGAUAAGUAGUGUGAAUUGCAGAAUUCAGUGAAUCAUCGAAUCUUUGAACGCACAUUGCGCCCCUUGGUAUUCCAUGGGGCAUGCCUGUUCGAGCGUCAUUUGUACCUUCAAGCUCUGCUUGGUGUUGGGUGUUUGUCUCGCCUCUGCGUGUAGACUCGCCUUAAAACAAUUGGCAGCCGGCGUAUUGAUUUCGGAGCGCAGUACAUCUCGCGCUUUGCACUCAUAACGACGACGUCCAAAAGUACAUUUUUACACUCUUGACCUCGGAUCAGGUAGGGAUACCCGCUGAACUUAAGCAUAUCAAUAAGCGGAGGAAAAGAAACCAACAGGGAUUGCCCUAGUAACGGCGAGUGAAGCGGCAACAGCUCAAAUUUGAAAUCUGGCGUCUUUGGCGUCCGAGUUGUAAUUUGCAGAGGGCGCUUUGGCAUUGGCAGCGGUCCAAGUUCCUUGGAACAGGACGUCACAGAGGGUGAGAAUCCCGUACGUGGUCGCUAGCCUUUACCGUGUAAAGCCCCUUCGACGAGUCGAGUUGUUUGGGAAUGCAGCUC
rnacentral:rRNA from 1 species